rnacentral:rRNA from 1 species
AUUGAACGCUGGCGGCAUGCUUAAUACAUGCAAGUCGAACGGCAGCAUGGAUUGUAGCAAUACAAUUUGAUGGCGAGUGGCGGACGGGUGAGUAACGCGUAGGAAUCUGCCUUGAAGAGGGGGACAACCCGAGGAAACUCGGGCUAAUACCGCAUGAUAUCGAGAGAUUAAAGUUGGGGCGACCGGACACUUCAAGAGGAGCCUGCGUCCGAAUAGCUAGUUGGUUAGGUAAAGGCUGACCAAGGCGAUGAUCGGUAACUGGUCUGAGAGGACGACCAGUCACACUGGGACUGAGACACGGCCCAGACUCCUACGGGAGGCAGCAGUGGGGAAUAUUGGACAAUGGGGGCAACCCUGAUCCAGCAAUGCCGCGUGUGUGAAGAAGGCCUUCGGGUUGUAAAGCACUUUAGGUUGGGAAGAAGGUGGUUAUUUUAAGAGAUAGAUCACUUGACGGUACCGACAGAAUAAGCACCGGCUAACUCUGUGCCAGCCGCCGCAGUAA